UUAUCGGAGAGUUUGAUCCUGGCUCAGGACGAACGCUGGCGGCGUGCCUAAUACAUGCAAGUCGAGCGGAUUGAUGGGAGCUUGCUCCCUGAUAUCAGCGGCGGACGGGUGAGUAACACGUGGGUAACCUGCCURUAAGACUGGGAUAACUCCGGGAAACCGGGGCUAAUACCGGAUAACUCAUUUCCUCGCAUGAGGAAAUGUUGAAAGGUGGCUUUUAGCUACCACUUACAGAUGGACCCGCGGCGCAUUAGCUAGUUGGUGAGGUAACGGCUCACCAAGGCAACGAUGCGUAGCCGACCUGAGAGGGUGAUCGGCCACACUGGGACUGAGACACGGCCCAGACUCCUACGGGAGGCAGCAGUAGGGAAUCUUCCGCAAUGGACGAAAGUCUGACGGAGCAACGCCGCGUGAGUGAUGAAGGUUUUCGGAUCGUAAAGCUCUGUUGUUAGGGAAGAACAAGUGCCG
rnacentral:ncRNA from 1 species